CAAUAGCGUAUAUUAAAGUUGUUGCAGUUAAAAAGCUCGUAGUUGAAUUUUUGCUUGCCGCCGAUGUCGGAACUUCCGUACGUUCGGCGGCGUGCAUCCUUGGGUGGAACCUGUGUGGCAUUAGGUUGUCGUGCAGGGGAUGCUCAUCGUUUACUGUGGAAAAAUUAGAGUGUUCAAAGCAGGUUUACGCCGUUGAAUAUAUUAGCAUGGAAUAAUAAGAUAGGACCUUGGUACUAUUUUGUUGGUUUGCGCACCGAGGUAAUGAUUAACAGGGACAGUUGGGGGUAUUCGUAUUCCAUUGUCAGAGGUGAAAUUCUUGGAUUUCUGGAAGACGAACUACUGCGAAAGCAUUUACCAAGGAUGUUUUCAUUAA
rnacentral:rRNA from 1 species